GACGAACGCUGGCGGCGUGCUUAACACAUGCAAGUCGAGCGAUGAAGUUCCUUCGGGAACGGAUUAGCGGCGGACGGGUGAGUAACACGUGGGUAACCUGCCUCAUAGAGGGGAAUAGCCUUUCGAAAGGAAGAUUGAUACCCCAUAAGAUUGUAGUACCGCAUGGUAUAGCAAUUAAAGGAGUAAUCCGCUAUGAGAUGGACCCGCGUCGCAUUAGCUAGUUGGUGAGGUAACGGCUCACCAAGGGGACGAUGCGUAGCCGACCUGAGAGGGUGAUCGGCCACAGUGGGACUGAGACACGGCCCAGACUCCUACGGGAGGCAGCAGUGGUGAAUAUUGCACAAUGGGGGAAACCCUGAUGCAGCAACGCCGCGUGAGUGAUGACGGUCUUCGGAUUGUAAAACUCUGUCUUCAGGGACGAUAAUGACGGUACCUGAGGAGGAAGCCACGGCUAACUACGUGCCAGCCGCCGCGGUAA
rnacentral:rRNA from 1 species